rnacentral:rRNA from 1 species
CACGGAGGGGGCAAGCGUUGUUCGGAAUCAUUGGGCGUAAAGGGCGCGUAGGCGGCUGAUCAAGUCGGGUGUGAAAUCCCUCGGCUCAACCGAGGAACUGCAUUCGAUACUGGUCGGCUAGAGUCCGGGAGGGGAUGGUGGAAUUCCCAGUGUAGCGGUGAAAUGCGUAGAUAUUGGGAAGAACACCGGUGGCGAAGGCGGCCAUCUGGACCGGUACUGACGCUGAGGCGCGAAAGCCAGGGGAGCGAAUGGG